rnacentral:rRNA from 1 species
GCCAGCAGCUACAUCACCAUGCAGCUCUCAACUGGCAACCCGCUGAAGCUAAGCAUGUGUGAGCCUGGUCAGUACCUGGAUGGGAGUCCUCUUGGGAAGCUAUGUUUGCUGCCGGAA